AAAGAACAAGACGCAGCAGUUGAACGAAGAGGCUAGACACUUCAAACCGCUGGGGAAUAAAUAAUUUCUAGAUUGAAGGAAUCAGUGUUUCCAAUCAUUGGCUUCUUAGCCAUUUCAGUCAAGUUCAACCUCAUAGUCUCAAAUCCAAGGAGGUUGUCUUCCUACAAGUUAUAAACGAGUUAGGUUGAGCCGCAUAUAGUUCAUUUGUCCAAGUUAAUAAGCAGAUGUUGACUGUUGAGCACAAAAGAACAAGACGUAGCAGUUGAACGAAGAGGCUAGACACUUCAAUCAUGCUCAUGUGAAAGGGUGUCCAAUGCCUCUUAUGUACACUGUAGUGGCUCGCCUCUUAUGAAAUUCUCAUGAGUUCAAGAUAUUUGGGCCAGGGGGAGCUGAAGCGUUUAAGGUAGAUAGAAAUGAUGAAGAAAACAAAAAAUGUCUUCUAACCAUGGAUAUUGAUGAGAUUCUUGCGAGAGCAGAUGUAUAUGAGGUAUGGGAUUAUACUUUUU